GCCAGUAUGGCCGAGUGGUUAAGGCGUUUGACUCAAGAUCAAAUGGACAUUGUCCUCGUGGGUUCGAAUCCCACUGCUGGUA